CACAGUAACAGUGGGAAGCGGAGGGAUGGAGAGAAGCAGAGCCAGACUGACUGAGGAUCACAGUGCAGGCAGCAGGUCGUCUAUAUAUCUAUAAUAUAGGCACACUGCACUGGAGAUGGACAUAUCCUCAAAGAAGAACAGGCAGGAAGGGGGACUCAAGGCACUUAACAGACUUAACAUAAUACAUUACAGAAACAAUGAAGAAUAGAAAAAGCUUUUCAUAAAAUACAUAGAGCAUGGAGUUA